GCGAGAGUGGCGGAAUUGGCAGACGCGCUGGAUUUAGGAUCCAGUCCUACAUAAGGGUGGGGGUUCAAAUCCCCCCUCUCGCA
rnacentral:tRNA from 1 species